UACGUAGGAGGCGAGCGUUGUCCGGAAUUACUGGGCGUAAAGGGCGCGUAGGCGGUGCGGUAAGUCACCUGUGAAAUCUCCUGGCUCAACUGGGAGCUUGCAGGCGAAACUGCCGUGCUGGAGUGUGGGAGAGGUGCGUGGAAUUCCUGGUGUAGCGGUGAAAUGCGUAGAUAUCAGGAGGAACACCUGUGGCGAAAGCGGCGCACUGGACCACAACUGACGCUGAGGCGCGAAAGCUAGGGGAGCAAACAGG
rnacentral:rRNA from 1 species